rnacentral:lncRNA from 1 species
AUUGCUUUCCUCCUGGUGCAUGUAUCUCCCCUCAGUGACACACGAGUCGGUGUCUUGAAGUUUUCCAAACAGCUCUGCCUUCUGCUGCUUUGUUAUCCUGAAUGGCCCAAGAGCUCGCCUAUUUCCGAGCGUGCCUUCUGGAAUCUGCUUUCUGAGAUUAGCGGUGCCCUCUCCCCUGAUUUGGACAAAGAUCUAUCCUUUGAGGAGACAGCAUACGGGCAGUACCUGGCAGCUUGAAAUAUGGAUGUAUCAGUAGACACCAACAAGGAGGCCACUGGAGAAAGAAGAAUAACAUGAAGAAAGGACAAAACAAUAGAAUGACAUUGAGACAGCUU